GGAAUCCUGGGCAUGGCUGCACGGGAGCGGGCUCACGGCGCGCUGGGUGAUGCACAACAGCUUCUCCAGGCACGUUUCUCCUCCUCCCUCCAUGUCUCCUCUGACAGAUGUCCCCAGCAGUGAUUUCAGACAAACACCCUAAAGUGGCUACACCAGUGCUCCUCUUGCAGGGCAGUCAGAAGAGACACCCACAAAUGUACCCAGGAAAUGCAUCUUGCUCUUCUCUUGCUGUCUUCUACUGCAGGACCAUCAUUUUAUCCCUGUUUGGGAAUUUCCAUUACUGCUGGGGAAAGGGACUUCUCCUGAGUGAACACUGGGAUCUGACUUGAAGCAAGGCAAGAGAAGCAAAGCCUCCAUGUAAACAUCACAGGGGGGACUGCUUCUUCAUCCCACUGCUUUUCCAGACGGCACACUGUGUGUUCCUGCAGGAAUUCUCCUGCCCAGAUUUGUCACCUUGUGCAGGUUCUGCUGAGACUCUGGUCCCCUGGCAGCAGCAGGAUAUUGGAGGAUUUGAGCUGAGAUCUCUGAGCAGCCACAGCCCCCUGCUCUGACCCCUCAUUUCCAGCCCAGACACAGCUCCCUCAGCCCCACAUUUCCUCCAGGUUUGUACAGAGAUUUCCUUCCAUGAAGAAAUGGGAUGAAAGCAGGAAAAGGAGA